CUAAUUAAAAAAUUGACUUUAUGUACAUAAAAUAAAUAAAUAAAUAAAUAAAUACGCCUACGAAAUUGAUAUAAACACAUAUAUACGUGGCUUUAAAAAAAUACACAAAUUUUACACAUCCUGUGUCAUAGAUGGAGGACUUGUGAGGUAGUUAUAUCCAAGCAUUCCCUUGUAGAUGUACACGUAAUGAUCCUAACACAUAGGCAAUUGUAUAAAAUUAAGGGGACAAUAACUUGGUAAUUGUUUGAUACACAUGGCCCGAUUGAUAAGAUUCAGAUUUUGAUCUGCAAAACAAAGGUUGUUACCGACCGUGUUUAUAAAUUACGGGUCUUGCCAACAUUGCAAAAAGGUUCUGAACAUUCUCCUCCCAUUUAAGUGUCAAAACAUGAAUCAAAACUCAAUUUAACUAAAUCAACCUCUAUAAUUUUUUAUGUAUUUUCUAUUAAUUUUAAUCAAUUAAGUAGUAUUAUUCAUAAUUUAUUAUUAUUUUUUUAAUCUUUUUAAUGUUUAUCAUAAUUAAAAUAUUAAAAAAAAAGUACCAAUAGGAGUUCGUAUCCUUCCAAAGUAUAAUUAAAAAAAAGUGAUGGAGGUUGCUUUCUAGAAUGCAAUCAAUGGAUGAGUGGAAAAAAAAAGUAGUUUUGCGCGUUUUAUUUGAAAUACAUGGUAUUUGAUAUUUGUAAAAGGAAUACUUUAAAAAAUGCCUAUAUACAAUGUUCAUCUCUUGAGGCAAAUAUUAACUUGAGGUUCUUAAAGAAACAUUUGUUCUGAUUUCUAUUUUCUAAAUUAAGAUUAAAUAAAAACAUUUAUUUUGAAGUUGUUCAAAUAAUUAACUAAAUAUAUCAGGUAUUCUUUGUCAUCCAUGCCUUUAAACAUUCACUAUUGUUAUAUUAAAUCUUUCUUUUUAACCUUCUAUAAACAUGUUUUCAUAGAUUAGUAAUCUAAUUGAUUAAAGCAACCAUAAUUUUAAUAUUUAUGUUACUUUAUAUAGAAAAUAAGAAAUAAAAAAGUAUACUUUUAUGUUUACAGUUUUGAAAAAUAAUAAUAAGUUUUGAAAAAUAAAAUAAGGUAAAAAGAAAUAAAUAAAAAAAGUUUCAAAUAAAAAAAAAUUACUUUUUAAAAGAUUAAUUACACAAAUUCACCAAAAUGUUAUUUCCUAUUUAAGUUAGUUAACAAGUAUUCCAAAGAUAUUUCUUAACAUGUUCAAUAAAAUAAAAAUGUUUUCAUGGUAUUAAAUAAAAACUCCAUUUUAAUAUGUGAAAAUGAAAGACAAGAUAAUCAAGUAAAACAGCUCUAAAUUAAAAAAUCUUUGAAAUCCUAAGUUUGGGAAGAGCAAUUUAAUGUUUGUGUGCUAUCUAUUUCCCGUGAAUUCUAUCCUAUACAUUCAAGUGAUAGUGGUCUUUCCCUUAAAAAAAGAAAAUGAUGGCGGUUUAUCCGUAUAGUAAAAUAUUAAAAAACAUGCAACCGACUUAUAUGAAAACAAGCAGACAAGAAUUUUAGUGAUAGAUGGUAGCUUUGAUCCUUUAUUGGGAGUGGUUGAGCAAACUAAGUCUCAUGGUACUCAAGACUCAUCCCAUCAGUUUGUUCCUGUCAAUAGGGGAAUAUCGGGUUCCUCUAGAAUGAUCUACUCAUUUUAAUUUUACUUAUUCAGUUAUUAAAUUAAAAAUUAAAAUAACAACUUUCUAAUUUUCUCACUUUAUAUUUUAUUCAUUAUAGAGAGUUCAAAUCAAAAGGAUCAAGCCAAUCUUUAACCUGCAGUUAGCAGUAUCAUCUUGAAUUCUCAAUUGCUCUCCGUUUAACAUAAUUUAUUUACUAAUUUUAAAUUCUUUGUUAUAUGGCAAGAGUUAGAAAAUAAUUUGUUAUUAUGAUUUUAAAUGGGAUUUAUCAACACAAAGUAUUCUUACCAAAAAAGAGUUUAUUCUAGAGAAGGUUUGGAUUCUCCAAAAUAAAUUUACUUACAUAAUUUACUAUAGAGUCAUUGAAUCUAAAAAUGCGAAAUUAGUAGUUUAUAUUUAACAUAUGAUUCUAUAACAAGCCACACGAAACAGCCACCGUGGAUGAUUCAAAUUAAACAACAAAAAAGUCAAAUUUAGAAUAACAACUCACACCAAAAUAUAAAACAUUAGAAAGAUGGUAGAUUAUCACAUAUUUACACACGUAGAUUAUGUAAUAUAUUAUAUUGGAUUGAGAUUUAGGACUUACUGUACAAAUUUAAAAUUGAAAUUUGUGCAUCUCAAAUGGGAAGCCGGGAAGCCAUCUGAAUUUAAUUGGAUGUCUCAAAUGACACAACUAUGGAGAAUGCAUGAUUUUGCUAAGUAAAGGUAGGAUGAAAUAUGAAAAACAUGGGACAGUAUAAGAGCCAAUUCUAUUGUGAAGCUCAUUUACUCUCCAAUUUCAUUGAAGCUCAUUUCAUCAAUAAAGAACUUGCGAAAAUUAGUAAUGUACACGGUUUAUGUACAGGUUACUUUGUGAAACAAAUAUCAAAAGAUACUCUCUUAAACCUCCUCCGAUAAGCCUUUUUGCUCACCAGGGUGGCACAUCUUCCAGAUAUAUAUAUAUAUA
rnacentral:lncRNA from 1 species